AUGAACUUCGCCAUCCCCUCCUCCUUCAGGCGCUACGACCUGUACAUCGACUUGAACCAGUCCAUCCUGUUCCUCCGCCGAGCUCAGGACAAGGUCGACAGGAGGCUGUCCGGCCUUCACCCUGUGGUCGCCGCUCUGCAGGAACAGGCAGCACGCCUAGAGGAAAGUAACGACGCACGGGGUGAGUCGUCCAGCGCCCCAGACGCUCAACAUCGCCAGGUCCUUGUGGACAUCUACCUCCGCACUCGCGCACUCUGCUGGCAACUCCACGUACAACGUUUUGAUCCCCUGCAUCGCCAAUCAUCUGGAGCUGCUCCGAGCUUCCCUGGCCGCACCCCUGGCCCUUCCAUACGAGUGGUUCACUGGAGUUAUCAACAUCUGUUCGCUCCGUGA
rnacentral:rRNA from 1 species